CCCGGGAAAAUGCAUUUCUGAUCAGUGGAAAUGCCCUUAGAUCAAACUCUGUAUCAGCACUGCCCAGGUAAAAGAAUGUUAAAUACUGAAUCACAGAACUGAAUAUAAGAAAUUAACUGCUGUUGCUCUGUCUAGAGACAAUGGAGAAUACUGUUUUCUCUCUACUGAUAAGAAUAUGGUAUUAGGGUUCGAGCACCAGGAGAAUCCAAUGCUUGUAAAUAUCCCCUUAAAUGGAAGGGCAGAGAUGGCCAGACAAGUUCUCUACGAGUGAGUGAAGAAUAGACUGAACAAGAUUCUGGUGAGGAAGACAAGAGCGUUCCUUUCAGAUCUGGUGUCCCUCACAGGAGAAUCACGGAGGCCAAGUGGAGCUUGGCAAACACUGACUGCAGCUUGUCUCACUUCCCUUAAAGGGUUUGUAUCUUUGGCAAUUAAAUCAGUGACUCAUUCAAAUGCUACAGUAAGAAUGAGGUCUCCUCCAGAGAGUCCACAACCUACCUGAAAGGCAACAGUAGGGUGUCUAUUCUGAGACAUCUCAAAAGCAUUUGUACGAAUUGUUCUUAUAAAUUCGGAUUAUGAGUUAUGUUCUGUUUACGUAAUUGAAGCCUAUGCCAAGAUCACUAAAAUAUUCUACAAUGGUGUCUUCUGGGAGUUUUAUUUUUUGACUUUUACGUUUUCUCUACAGUCCAUCUGCCGCAAGUCAUUCUGUGUAGGGCAUGAUGCAGGAGUCAAGAUUUAUGUUUUCCCAGCUUUUACAGGUUUAUCCUUUAACUUAUUGCAAGAUAUUUCCGGAGGGGAGUGAAGAAGCUGC